GGAGGGGUCGCAUAGUGGCCUAGUGCGCACGCUUGGAGAGCGUGUUUCCCGCAAGGGACCGCGGGUUCGAAUCCCGCCCCCUCCGCCA
rnacentral:tRNA from 1 species